UACGAAGGGGGCUAGCGUUGUUCGGAAUUACUGGGCGUAAAGCGCACGUAGGCGGAUUGUUAAGUUAGGGGUGAAAUCCCGGGGCUCAACCCCGGAACUGCCUUUAAUACUGGCAAUCUCGAGUCCGAGAGAGGUGAGUGGAAUUCCGAGUGUAGAGGUGAAAUUCGUAGAUAUUCGGAGGAACACCAGUGGCGAAGGCGACUCACUGGCCCGAUACUGACGCUGAGGCGCGAAAGCGUGGGGAGCAAACAGG
rnacentral:rRNA from 1 species